ensembl:lncRNA
UAACAUUUAGUGAUACCUGAGGCAGCUCUUCUUAUCUCUCUCAAUGCACCCUGAAAGGCUGGAAAACAUUUUAACACAUGACUUUUGAAAAGCAAAUAUAACAACAGACAUUAAGGUGGGCUACCAAAGCCCGCAUCCAUCUGAGAACCACAGAACAGGAGAGGCUGGAAGGGGCCCUCAUCACUGUUAUUUUAUGUAAGCUGUACUUUAUUGAAUAUGAGAAUAUUAUGUGAGAUAUUGUUGAAAGCCUUGCUAAAGGCAAGAAGAAUAUACUGCUCUCUCCUCAUUCACUGAACCAUCAGUUCACUGAAGGGGGCUACCGGGUUGGUCAGGCGUAAAUCCAUGCUCACUGCUCCCAGUCACCCUCUUAUCCUCAUUAUAUUUGGAAAUGAUUCCCGGAAUGAUUUGCUCUAUCGCCUUCCUAGGUAUCAAGGCGACUGGCAUGUAGUUCUCCAGAUCCUCUCUGUUGUCCUUCCUGAAGACAGACCAGCCAUCUGCAUUAUUCCUGUCCUCAGCAACCACCCUCACUGGCCAUGAUUGAGAAUGGCCUCACAAUGACACUGGCAGUUCCAUCAGCACUCAUGGGUGCAUCCCAUUGGAUCCCUUGGUCUUGCGUGCAUCCAAAUGGUCUAAAUGUCCCCUAUCUAAUCCUUUACACCAACAAUAAUAAGUAUUGCUUGCUCCAGGCUUUCCCUCUGCUCUCUGGAACCUGGAAUUCUUGAAGCUGCAUUCUGGGGGGAGUCAGGAGAUCAAAUGAAUGAAGCUCAGCUGCCGCAGAUGAAGGGGAGCUGGCAGCAACCUGUGCCUGAUGUCCUCUCCUCAGAUAUGGGGCUGGGGCAAGGAACUCUGUGCCAGCUCUAACCUGGCUUCCUAUGGCAUCUGGCAGCCAGAAAAGCACCCUGAAAGUUCCAGACACCAGUUUGGCACCUCCAGGAUGUCGGUGAGGCCAGUGAUGGGUUUCCAUGUGCCUCACCUGCAUAAAUACAAGCUUCUGCCAGGAUGUUUUCAUGCAGCCAAAACAAUACAGCAGCACUACUUUGGC